CAUCUUUUGAUGGAACACUGGACAGUGAAUGUUGACAUGGGAAACAUUCAGGACUCUACCAACAACAAGAACACUUGUGGUCAGGCAGUGCAUUCUUUAGUUCUGUUCUCUCCUUACAUGACCUAGAAUCCUCGUUGCCUCUUGUUUGUUAGUCAAGGCAAUGACCUUCACUGGCCAGCCGGAGACAACAGUUGGAGACGAGCCGCAGGUCAGUAGCGUUGGAGAGGGAUGGUAUAAUUCAGUUUAUAUCCCAAAACGUGGUAUUCCACCAUAACCUAUGCACACAAUUAAAAAAUUGCUGAAGCUGGAGACUUAUAUUUUUGUUUUUGCAACUGUGUGUGUCUGUGAGUGUGUGUGUGCUGGAGGUGAGAGUUUUAGCAUGCCCGGAGGUUCCUCCUCUCGUGCUGCCUCACUAUACUGAGAAAGGGUCAGCCUUUGUCCCUCCCCAUUGCUCCUACCACAGCCUGGGACACUGUCUGCACACCAACAUCUUUCCAGGAGCUCCUCUGGUGUGGAAGUCCCUGAUAAAAUACUCCUACAUCGGUCACCCCUUGUCCGCCCCUCCUACAGACGCCCAGCGUUGGUAUGGCCGCAGGACUGAUGACAUGGUGAAAUGGACAGAAAGAAACAUUGUGAACCAGAAGUUGAACAAGGCGCUAAAGGCAAUGGGAGAACAAGGAGUCUAAAUGAGGCCAUGGUGCAGUGGCCAUUUCACACCCUCACCGCAGCGCCCAUGCACCCUCCACAUUAUUCACAUCUCUUUUAACACAUAUAUCUACAUGCAAAACUUUUACAAACCCUCACAUUCAGACACACGCACAAGCAUACACACAAACAUUGUCACAAACUCUCAAAAGUACAAAAACAACCCAUCUCCUGACCUCUAAACGCUGUUUUCCUCUCCGCAACAGUUCUGCCCGCUCUGACUCUGGUCCCUGUCUCCAGCCCCACGUCUCGUCAUCCUGCUACUCUGUCCUGGAUUCCCCACUCUAUUACUCCCUUGGAUUCCCCUCCAGACCUGCUUACCCUGUCUCAACCCCUCUCGCUCCAGCCUCGGCCUCUGCACCUGGUUUCCAGCAACCCGCCCGAGCUUCCCCUGACCUGCACUCCAUCUUCCUCCUGUGUUCCAUUAAAAACCUUGGUUACUUCAUCCCAGUCUCCAUGUCUGAGUCUGCUCUUGGGUUCCCCUGUACCACUCCACGUAACAC